CACAUCGUACAACGGUACGAUGUACACAUUUUUGAGUGCCU
rnacentral:rRNA from 1 species